CCCGUGGGAUUAAGCCACAGCCAAAAUGAUAUAAAGGAGGUGCAGGUACAUUUCUCAGGCUGGUGGUCUAUUGGUCCCCGGUGAUAUUCAAAAUACUUAGCUACCAGCAUGACUCAGGCACUGAUCAUUCAGCCCAGAAGUACCAGGUGGGGGGUGGAGGUGUCCCUGGGGGGGUGGGGUCCAUCUGCCCAGGCUGAGGCUGCUCCUACUAGGUUGCUGGACUGGGUGCUUUUCCUGCUGGAAUACCCCUCCUGAGCUCCCUGCCUCUACUUACCCUUCACCAGCUGGACCCCACCAGGGCUCCAGGCAGUGCCAGCUAACCCACCAGGUGUUUAAAGUGCAUGAUGAUGUUACGGGAUUGGGAGGAAAUCCCUGGGUCCAAAAUCUGUAGCAAACUUGGACAUGUCACAGUGACACUACCUGGCAGUGCACGGCGCCUGCGCACAUUGACAGCCCUCAGCGGGCACCCGCCACCAGCCCUCCCUGAGCCGCAGUGUUUGGGGCUCCAACCUUUUCCUGUCAGACCACCCCACUGCCAGCCCUGGCCUGGCCCUGCUGAGUGGCUCUGGGCUCCUUUGUGUCCUCACAGGUGGCCCCUUUGCUCUGAGCCAAAUGUCCCUGGCUUGGUCCUUGAUUCAGGCCUCAGAUGCCCCAGCCUCUCUGUUCUCCCCCAUUCCAAGCCCCAAGCUUAAGCCCUCUCCCGGGGACCCCACUGCCCACCAGCCCCAGAUCCUGUUUGACAGCCAUACUGGAGCCCACGUCUCACCACCAUGUCCCCCCACCCUGACCCCCUGCCUAGACACCACCUCAGCUCCAAACUACCUCUGCCUCCCCGCGUGUCCCCUUCCAGCCUCAUUCAUCACUCAGCAGCCAGAGUGAACCUUCUGAAGCGUCAAUCAGACCACAACACUGCCCUGUAGUCUUUGAAACCUAUCAAAGGCUUCCCACCAGCCUCUGAACGAAACACGGGGCCCUGCGUAGCUGACCCCUGCCUGCCUCCCUGUCCUCAUCUCCUGCUGACCCUAGCUUCCUCCCUUCCAGCCACACUGGCCUUUGCGGUUCCUCGAACACGCCGGGCUCACAGCCGCCACCAGCCUUUGCUGUCUCCUCUGCUGGCUGCAGGUUUCCUCACGCCUCACUUCAGGGCAGCCCUGCUCAGACGCCACCUUCAGAGGACCUCCCCAUGCUACCUCCCCAGUCACUCCCUGCCCCUCACCUGGCCCCGCUGCAUCCUACCGUGCUGGCGAUGCAGUGUCACCUCUGGUCUUUCACUGUUUGGGCCAUUGUGUUGCUGCUGCGUCUCACAGUGCCUGACCCCCUUUAACUGUCAGUAAGUAUGUGAUGAUUCAGUGAGCCGGUGAAUGCACACUCAUUGGUUCCCUCUCAACGUGCUGGAGCUCCACACUCCAGGCUUGAAGGCAGGAAGCUGUGGGGUGGGGGUCACAGGCCUGGCUUGUUAAUUCACUGUGACCCUGAAUGAGUCAUUUAGCUGCCUACUUCUAGUUGUAGUAAGUGUGUGGGAAAGCACUUACCCUAUGGGCCUGAAUGGGGUAUCAACUUGGUCUGAAUCCUGACUCUGCCAUCUGCCAGCUGUGUGACCUUGGGUAACAUACUUGACCUCUCUGUGCUUCCACUUCCUUACCUGUGAAAUGGGAGUAAAAUAGCUCCCUUCUAUCAAAAUAAUCCCUUUUUAUCAGGAUUCUUGGUGGCAAACAAUGAAACAAAUCCAGAAGCUUACUGAAGGGCUAUAAGAAGCUUUCAUAGGCUCAAAGGGAAGGUGGAAAGCCCCAAACCAAGCUGAUGAGGGCACAUGGAAAAGAAAUCCUCUGGAACAUGCCACCAGCACUACCACCCUGGACCCCGAGGCCCCAGACCCUGCUGACCGGGAAGCUCGAGUCCAGGAGCCGGGACGGGAAGCAGAGGAGGCUGGCGCCGGAGUCCCCCGGCGGGGAGCCUGCCCCGGGAGGAAGAGCAGCAGAGCAUUGCUGCGAGGAUUACAGGUUAAUCCAGGACCCUCACACGUGGCUGGUGGGAAAGCUGGGCAAGUGUCUGGUGGAAUCCGCUGGCAUUAGCAUGUUUAUCCCAUGACUCAGUGAUGGUAAACGAGUGUGCACGUCCUCCAGAUGACACAGACAAACAUGCUAAUAGCAGCACUCUGCGUCAUGGCCGAACACAGCGGUAACCAAACAGGCACCAACAAUGGACUGAGUCGGCAUAAAUCAGUAGGUCUCCUGGAAUAUGACACAGCCAUGAGAGGGCAAGCAGCGGCUGCACGCAGCAAUGGAGGUACGUUUAACAAACAACACUGGGUGUAAGAAGCCAGGCAUGAAACGCUGUCAACCGUAUGAUUUCACCUGUUGGCACCUCACACACAGGCCAGGUGAGCUACAGUACUGGAAGCUGAGUUAGUGUUCUCCCAGCAGGCCAGAGACGGCGGGGCGGGGUGGCCUCCUCGGGUGCUGGGGGAGCUCCCUUUGUUGAUCUGGGUGCAGGCUUCACUUGCGUGUUCACUUUGGGGAGAUUCACUUAGUUCUUCGCGUAAGAUUGUGUGUUUUUCUCAAGGUUUAUUAGAUUUUAAUAAAACAUAACAUAUGGGUUUAAGGAAAAAAAAGAAUCAGUCCAUGGGGAGCACUUGUGAUAGCACCCGCACAAGGUAUGACCCAAGCAAAUGCUAGGUAGUGGUGACUAUUGUUCUCUUCACCUGCUAGUUUCGCUCCCAGCCGCCAGGCUCCUCCGCCAUCCUCCGUGGGGGGAAGAUGUCAUGUGUCCUCAGCCCUCAAAUCCAUACAGUAGACAGCGCCGUGCUCCGGCACAGGGGUCCUGAGCUGGUCUGUGGGGGGCGGGGGAAGCCCCUCGAGCAUCAUGGAAUUGGCCAGGUCCCCCAUGCCAAGGCCAGGAGGCCAGAGGGGAGACACCAGCGUCCCAGAUAAGGGCUGCUCCUUCACCUGAGCUUUGGAGUGGAGCUGACUUGGUGCAGAGCUGCCGUCACCCCACGAAGGGCAUUAAUCUGAGCAAGAUGUGAAUCUCAUUAUGAGUAAAGUGAGGAUCCUUGAGACUGAGUUAUUUGCUGAUGGUCACACCGCUAUUCGAGGUCGGAUCUGGAAUCUGAGCCCCGUGUACCUGAGUCCAAACCCUGGGCCUUUUAACCUUUAAGGAAUUUGAAUGGCAGGCAGGGGAAGGGUCCCCAGGUCAGCGUGGUGUUCCUCAAGAGCUCCUUGGGGUGAAGAGGAGGUGGGUGGACCCCAGCAGCCCCCCCAUCUCCUGGGAGAGGGGGCACCACAUGGCAUGGCAGCAGAGGGGGUCUAGAACCAGUUUGCACCAGCUGGAGAGAGCCAAGGGUUAAAAUUACGGGAAUUGUGCAAAUCAGUUGCUAAACAUAGCUAUUAUUAAAGAUUGAAGUACAUGUGCUUACAAUUAAAUGAAAUAUAUUACAA